rnacentral:rRNA from 1 species
UACGUAAGGUCCGAGCGUUGUCCGGAAUCAUUGGGCGUAAAGGGUACGUAGGCGGAUAAGCAAGUUAGAAGUGAAAUCCUAUAGCUCAACUAUAGUAAGCUUUUAAAACUGUUUAACUUGAGAGAUGGAAGGGAAAGUGGAAUUCCUAGUGUAGCGGUGAAAUGCGCAGAUAUUGAGAAGAACACCAGUAGCGAAGGCGGCUUUCUGGACUGUAACUGACACUGAGGAACGAAAGCGUGGGUAGCAAACAGG